GAGUUUGAUCGUGGCUCAGGAUGAACGCUAGCGACAGGCUUAACACAUGCAAGUCGAGGGGCAGCGGGGUAGUGCUUGCACUACUGCCGGCGACCGGCGCACGGGUGAGUAACACGUAUGGAACCUGCCGCAGCAGGGGGAUAAGCGGAAGAAAUUCCGUCUAAUACCGCGUAACAACGUUGGGAGGCAUCUCCCGAUGUUUAAAGAUUUAUCGGCUGCGGAUGGCCAUGCGGCGCAUUAGCUAGUCGGCGGGGUAACGGCCCACCGAGGCGACGAUGCGUAGGGGUUCUGAGAGGAAGGUCCCCACACUGGUACUGAGACACGGACCAGACUCCUACGGGAGGCAGCAGUGAGGAAUAUUGGUCAAUGGCCGAGAGGCUGAACCAGCCAAGUCGCGUGAGG
rnacentral:rRNA from 1 species